rnacentral:lncRNA from 13 species
AGCUCAUAGGGAGAAGGAUGCAGAAAGUUGUAAUGAAGGAAAAAUGUAAUGUUGGGGAGCAAAUUUCAACGUUGCCAGAAGAAUUCAUCCAACCCCCUGCCUGCUCCUAAGCUGCCUCUGAUGCAAUAACCUGCCUUUGAGGAUCCUGUACAGCCCACACACUUCUACAGACUGAUUGCCUCUGACUUGGGCCAGAAGAUUUAAACUGCCCUCAAAUUGGAUUUUGAGCCUGGAUAAUGAGUUGUCUAUAUUAAAGAGAGGAGGAAAGAAUGUUAACAGGGAGAACAUGUUCAUAAGUUUUUACUACUGUCUCCUAGUGGAGGUGCUUAGGGAAUUACAUCAUGGUGACAAUAAAAAAUUCCCCUGAUCAUACAGGAGAAGAAAAAGUACAAGACCAGAAAUGAAAACCAAAUAAAACAAAAUAAAAGGAGUUUGAACUACUUGCUUAUGUAGCCUGUUAUACCUUGAAA